UGUGAACAUAUGUAACCUGCUACUGACAUGCUGUCAGCCAUUUUGCUGUUUAUUCAUCAUCUUAAAAUAUAAUCAAAGAAGAAUAUUUACUCUAAGAAAUAAGAAGAAACUAUGUUUUAUUGCUACAAUUUAUUAAUGGAUGUCUGGACUGUUUUUUGGAUUACAAAAGGAAAGGUUAUUUUGAAAGCGUGUCUUGUCAGAUGUUGCCAGGGGGGGAAAGGUGAAAUGUGUGCUUAAGUUGUGAAAGAGGAAGGCUUAUAUGUGUUAACUCUUAUCAUAGACAAGCGAUAUUUUAGGGAAGUAAGAUGCAUGACUGGGGUCAAGUUAUCUGUUAGAAAGAUCAUGGGAUGCUUAAACUUUUGAACCUUAAAUUUGUCAGUUAUGCUAGAAUUUAGCCAAUAGGAAAUAAGACCAUAUUUGGAGUUCUGAUUCAAGCUAAACGAAAG
rnacentral:lncRNA from 1 species